GAUGAACGCUGGCGGCGUGCCUAAUACAUGCAAGUCGAGCGAACAGACGAGGAGCUUGCUCCUCUGACGUUAGCGGCGGGCGGGUGAGUAACACGUGGAUAACCUACCUAUAAGACUGGGAUAACUUCGGGAAACCGGAGCUAAUACCGGAUAAUAUAUUGAACCGCAUGGUUCAAUAGUGAAAGACGGUUUUGCUGUCACUUAUAGAUGGAUCCGCGCCGCAUUAGCUAGUUGGUAAGGUAACGGCUUACCAAGGCAACGAUGCGUAGCCGACCUGAGAGGGUGAUCGGCCAUACUGGAACUGAGACACGGUCCAGACUCCUACGGGAGGCAGCAGUAGGGAAUCUUCCGCAAUGGGCGAAAGCCUGACGGAGCAACGCCGCGUGAGUGAUGAAGGUCUUCGGAUCGUAAAACUCUGUUAUUAGGGAAGAACAAAUGUGUAAGUAACUAUGCACGUCUUGACGGUACCUAAUCAGAAAGCCACGGCUAACUACGUG
rnacentral:rRNA from 1 species